UUUGAGUCCAGUAUGAGGAAAAAUCCUCCUUACUGGUAGACAAUUUCUUGAUACAAUAAGCCAGUAGCAUAGAAUAUAUUACAAGGUCGAACUAAGGCUGCUCAACAAAUUAUUACAAGCACGCCAAUAAUUAUACAUAAUGGCGGAUAUGCCACACUGGUGUGGUGGCAUACUACUGACUCGAGAUAGAAGUAGUAGUAGAAUAACACAGUGGGGAGUGGAUAACACGACUCCUAAACUGGGGUCUCAUCGAGCGUCGAGGUGAAGCUCGAUGAAUUUAUUCGGGUAGCGGAAGCGGAUAUAAUACAGUGACCAAAUCCAGGGUCGCACGAGACUGACUGGGAUUCCUCUAGGCAUCGGACUCGCUAUCGAACUCUUCAUCCAUGAGAUCGCCUUCGUCAGCAUCUGGCCAAAUCAACAAGCCAGGUGAGUACUUUGAAAGUACUCGCAAGACAGUUCGGACAUAAGAUAUAACAAAUGCAUGCAUGAAUGCGUCAUGAUUAAUUUACCAAUGCACAUUCAGUUUAGCAAAACAAGGUAAAUAAAAAAAGGGAGUCGACGGUAGUCCGUCCGAAAACCCAACAAAAUAAUUGAAAACCGAUCGGGUGUGUGAAGCGACGCCUCGAAGGGUGAACAAAUAUAUAAAGAUCAUGCCACAGUCGGGCGUCUGAGCGACACCACGUAAAGGGCUUAAACUGAAAAUAAAAGACAUGCGUGCCACAGUCGGACGUCGGGGCGACAUCACGGAAAUGGCUUAUAUUUAAAGUAAAUAACAGUACGGCCACAGUCGGACGUCUGAGCGACAUCACAGAAAGGGCUUUUAGUAAAAAUAAAUAAUGACAAUGCCGCAGUCGGACGUCUGAGCGACAUCGCAGAGAGGGCUUUUAUUGAAAGUAAAUAAUAACAAUGCCACAGUCGGACGUCUGAGCGACAUCGCAGAAAGGGCUUUCUUCACAAGGAUAUAAUACUCAUAAUUAAUAUUCAACUCAUGAUAAUAAACGGGUUAGUCCAUCCACAUGAAUAAACAUUUAACCGGACAUAGCACUCAUAUGAUUCACCGGAGUUUCUGUCACCAAAACUGACACUUGUCAGAUAAGAUAAUACCGAACUUGGACAUGGAAUAGAUGAUUCAAAGGAAUUUAUGACUCUGCAGAACUAAAAAUUCCCACAGCCAACGAAUUUCCGUAAUCACGAAGGACUAGUUCCGUUUACGGUAAUUCGGAAGAAAACACAGCCAACUAGUACACACCCAUCCUACCUUACGAUGCCAGGAAUCACCCUACACAUCGUCCAAGAAAAACUUUGAGACGGGGAGAUCACAAUCUCGAAUAGCAUGUGAUCAAAUUUAUAUACGCGCGCUCUAAGGGGUGCCCCCCUGUUGGUCCCAACCGGAAACACCCAUGCCCCCUGACCGGAUGACUGGCUUUAAUCCAGGGCCAUGGAACCAUCAUCACGGCCUCUCCUUUUGGUGUGUACCAGGAAAGCGGUUUGCAACUUACUAAGCCAUAUUCCUCGCGGAAAACAUGUGGUAGUACAGGGAAAGAAAACGGAUGGAACUGGACCGAUACGGGUUGACACUGAAGUCAAAUAGUCUGGCAUAAGACUGGCAUGCUACAACACUGCCAUCUUACCCAUUCUCAUGCCAAUACAUGGCCAUGCAUACUCACAUCCAUCCACUUAUGGAUUUUCGAAACUCACUUGCCUCAACGUUGCAUGUAACAUGACAUUCAUUGGUAUGCUCACAAACAUGUCAUGAAACUACUUAAUGCAAACAUGCCAAAACAUUCAUCAUAUCAAAAGUUCAAACAUGCUUGCCUGGUUCAGAGUAGUCGGAGCCUAGCUCGGUGAAGUUCGCGGUUCCGUCGCCUCCUUCGGUAUCUACGGUAUAAAGAAACAUACGCGCUAACGUAAAUACCGUGAGGUGCACAAAAAUUAUGCCAAAUAGUUUUCAAAUAAAUCAGAUAAAACACUAGACAGAAUUCCAAAGAGGACAGAAAAAGAAUCAAUCAAAAAUACUUUUCUGUUUAAAAGUUAUAAAAUUUGUAGUCCAGGGACUCAUCUGUAAUGAAACAGAAAGUUUUCAGGGGCUAACUUAUAAAAACAGAAAACGCUUCGAUUGAGAAUACGCCGGCCCAGAGGGGAGACGCAUUUUGGCAGAAGGCGCCUUCAGAAAACGGUUCGUUUUAAAAGAACAGAGAGGCUGACAGGCGGGUCCCGCCCGUCAGGUUUGAAAUUUCAAAAGAGGAGAGCAGAGCUCGUCGGUGCCCGAGAGCUGCGGUGUUCGCCGGCGGCGAUCCACGGCGAGGCAGGGGGAUCGGAGGUUACCAACGUGUUCACCGUGUCCUUCCGCGUCGGUGGGUGGUGGUGGUGGACGCCGGCGAGCACCACGUCGACGGCGGCCCUUGCUCCGGCGGACGGUGGUUCGGGCGUUGAUGGAUCUCGCCGAGGAGGGCUGCAAGGAUCGAAUUGAAGUGGGGGUUAGCUCUCUGUGUGCUCGAGGAGGUUACUGACAAGGUUUGGGCGCCGGGGAUGGCCUCACCGGAGUGGAUCAAGUCGGAGGCCGAGGCGGAACGAAGCGGCCGGAGUUGGGGGAGGAGACCUCCUCGAGGUCCUCCUAGUGGCCUGGCGGGGUGUUGGUGAGGUGCAGUGGUGGUGCGUGCUCGAGGGUGAGCUCGGGGUCCCCUUUUAUAGGCGAUCCGAGGCGGUGGCCGUGAACGGAGUUCUCCGGCGAUGGAUUACGGCGGUGCAGUGCUUGGUCGGGGAGUUUAGGAGGUUGGCCAUCAACAUGGAGGUCCACUGGCUCCACUCAGACGUUAAACGGACUUGGAUUAGGAGCUUAGGGUAGGUUUUGUCGGAACGGGGCGGCGCGGGCCCGUCGGCGGCAGAGAGCGCGCCCAGUGCUUGCCGGGCCACGGUGACGGUGCAGCGGGGCUGCGCUGGCAUGCAUGAGCCACGCGUAGAGCUAAGGAACAAUGGGCGGCGCUGAACGGCGUUGCAAGCUGGCGUUGCCUACUGUUGGCCGCCACGGGUGGCGUGGCCACCGCAGAAGCUGCCAGCUCCGGCGAUGCUCGCCGCCACCGACGCUAGGAACCAGCCAAGUGCGCGUGCGGCGCUCUGGACAUGGAGGAGGAGCCGUGCGCAAAGCGCCAGGGCGCACUGUGGACAGGUGACCGAUCACUGACGGAGAAACGACACUGCAUCUCUGAACUUUCUGAAUUUUUCUGAAAAUGCAAAGUAACAGUGUCGGCCAGGUGUUUGACAGAAUGAUUCUGGUAUGUAGGAGGUUCUCCUUGAGUUGAAACUUGGUGGGGUGGCCUCUCAUUGUACCAUGAGGCUGCCUAAAUUUUGGUAGAAUUUUUGGAGAAGAGGAGAUAUGAGGAGAUAUGAAUUUCACCAAAUUUGGCAAAUCUGGUCCAAACUUGCAGAGGCUGAAAUUUGAAAAAUUUGAAAAGAGGAAGGGUGGAUCUUGAUGGUUCUAGGUUAUGAGUGCUAAGGACUAUUCAGAGGAGUUGGUUUGAGAUCAAAACUCAAAGGCAAUAAGGUACUUGCUUUGAAAAUCACUUAGGCUCAAACUAAUUGACAGAAUUGUUUUUGGAGGGAAAAUAAAUAAAUUAAAAUCCCAAAAUGGUUUGGACUUGCUGGAACAGAGAAUUUAGAUUGCUCCAAAGUGAUGGGAGGGGUUUUGGUAAGGUCUUUCCACAUGAGGCAAGAUAAAAAUCAUGAGUGGUUUCAAAAUGAGAGAAGUCCCAAAACUCCUAGGGUUUUCUUUUUAAAUGAAAAUGAUCAAAUUAAAAAAAAUACAUUUGAGAGGGAAACAAUCAGAAGAAAAGUUUCCAUAAUUUAAACACCAAAUUUGAAGAGGAUGUACAUAAAAAUCCUUGCCAAGGGUGAAAAUUUUUAAGAGAGAGGUUUUUUGGAAGAAUUUUAAAUGGCCUCUUUUCAAAACCAACAAAGUUUUGCUGAAAACCAAAUUUUUUUUUGGAGUGUCACAAAAAUGGGCCAGAACAAGGAUCCAAGAUGUCGAUUUUUAGCGGUUGCUUUUACUAUUGUUGUUAUACUUUUAUUUAUUUAUUAUCCUAUAAAAAACACGCUUUUAUAUCGUGGCGGUCCAUCGUUACUUUUUUAAUCAUGAAUCAAUCAAUGCAACCUCCUUUCCAUUUACAUAUCACACCAGCAACCCUCUCCACAACAGUGUACAUGCCUGACAUGCUGUUACUGUAGAAACUUGAUAUAUCGUACUUGAUGUUGUCAAUGCUGACACGCUUAUGUGUGUAGAAAAGAUCGCUCUGUGGGUAGUGCUCUCCAUAUUAGUGUUUAUGUAUAUACCUUGUAUAUGGUCGUUCUCGAAACUCCUUACUACAAUGUACCACACGUUGAAGGUGUUUGGUCGAACCGCGGUGUCGAUGCAUCCUCAGAUUUAUCCAACACCCACAAAAGUCAGAAGAAGUGUAUGUGUUUUCUGCAUGGCGAUGUAACUUCUUCGAGUAACCAUCAGGCGAGGGACAUAAACUGUAUGUGAGACCUGCAGACAUAAAAAACUCUAUAAAUAAAUACUCCAAUAACCUGCUUCCGAUGUCAGUUUGUCUGUUCUGUUGUUCCGAACGUUUCAUUAUAAAUAAAUACUCCAACCAACCACAUGCAUGUAACUACAUAAGUGAAUUUUAUCUAGAGAAGAUAAGCUUGCACUGAAUUAGGCCGAAGCUAUAUACACAACUUCUAAGAAAAUGAAUUGAGCAUAGGAAGAGCUGUGCUCAAAUUAAAUAGGAGCUGGUGAAGCUCGAACCAUGCCUGUUUAACCCACCAACUUGUGGUGCUAACCGGUAAGACCCCAAAAUUCAUAAGGGCAUGUACAAUGGUUGAUAAGAUAGUCUUAUCUUAAGUUUUGCAUGUAAAUUAGAGAUGACAGAAAAACAUGUCUACAAUGGGUCAUCUCUUAGCCUUAUCUUCAAUAAUUAAUUGUUCCUAAAAAUAUGGUGAGACAAAUUGUGCUAAGAGAUCAUCUCUUGUCUUCUCUUAAAUAAGAUAAGACAAGCCUUCUCUUAUGAUUUCUAUCUCCUCCACCUCAUCAUUUAUCCUAUGUGGCACUUUUAAAAUAGAACCAUUGUACAUGCCCUAAAAGAAGCAAACAUCGAAAACUUCUCGAUCCAAGUAAGGAAACAACAAAUCUAACCUCCAAGCCACUCGGCGUCAUGGCUAGUUCCUCCGCCUCCUGGCCUCGCGCGUGUGGCUAGAUGCGUAAGGCCUAGCUCCGCUUGAUAUGCACAUGGCAAAUAGAUUAAAGAAGUGUACUGGAUAGUAAAUAGCUGGAGCCGGAAGACACACCCGUGAUCUUACCGACAACGUUUGAGGCAGGACGCCGGCGGACAGCGGCGACUCCAUGGAUCACAUGCGGUGAACACCAAUUUCUGCAUAUGCUUUUCUUCUCUGCACCUGUGUUUUCUAGAGAGGCGGCCAGCCGAUGGACACUCUUAUACAUGAGCAUGAG
rnacentral:lncRNA from 1 species